UACGUAGGGAGCAAGCGUUGUCCGGAAUCAUUGGGCGUAAAGCGCGCGUAGGUGGUCCCGUAAGUCCGCUGUGAAAGUCAAAGGCUCAACCUUUGAAAGCCGGUGGAUACUGUGGGACUAGAGUACGGAAGAGGCGAGUGGAAUUCCUGGUGUAGCGGUGGAAUGCGCAGAUAUCAGGAGGAACACCGGUGGCGAAGGCGGGUCUCUGGGCCGAUACUGACACUGAGGAGCGAAAGCGUGGGGAGCGAACAGG
rnacentral:rRNA from 1 species